rfam:Pan troglodytes isolate Yerkes chimp pedigree #C0471 (Clint) chromosome X, whole genome shotgun sequence.
GCCAGGUGUGGUGGCGCAUGCCUGUAAUCCCAGCUACUCGGGAGGCUGAGGCAGGAGAAUUGCUUGAACCCAGGAGGUGGAGGUUGCAGUGAGGUGAGAUGGUGCCAUUGCACUCCAGCUUGGGUGACAGAGCAAGACUCUGUCUCCA